AUCUAGCUGACGAGUCUCAAAUAGGACGAAACGCAUGCUUUAGAU
rnacentral:hammerhead_ribozyme from 1 species